rnacentral:misc_RNA from 1 species
GAUGAAGAACGUAGCGAAAUGCGAUACUUGGUGUGAAUUGCAGAAUCCCGUGAACCAUCGAGUCUUUGAACGCAAGUUGCGCCCGAAGCCAUUAGGCCGAGGGCACGCCUGCCUGGGCGUCACACGUCGUUGCCCCCCCAUCUACUCCUUCGGGAUUGCGGGGGGCGGAUGAUGGCCUCCCGUGCGCCUCGUCGCGCGGUUGGCCUAAAUGCCAAGUCCUCGGCGACGCACGCCACGACAAUCGGUGGUUGCGAAACCUCGGUUGCCCGUCAUGUGCGGUCGUCGCGCAUCGAGGGCUCGAAAAAAUUGCCGGGCUUCGGCUCGACUUUCAACGCGACCCCAGGUCAGGCGGGGUUACCCGCUGAAUUUAAGCAUAUCAAUAAGCGGAGGA